GGUUAAGCGACUAAGCGUACACGGUGGAUGCCCUGGCAGUCAGAGGCGAUGAAGGACGUGCUAAUCUGCGAAAAGCGUCGGUAAGGUGAUAUGAACCGUUAUAGCCGGCGAUGUCCGAAUGGGGAAACCCAGUGUGAUUCGUCACACUAUCGUUAACUGAAUACAUAGGUUAACGAGGCGAACCGGGGGAACUGAAACAUCUAAGUACCCCGAGGAAAAGAAAUCAACCGAGAUUCCCCCAGUAGCGGCGAGCGAACGGGGAGCAGCCCAGAGUCUGAAUCAGCUUGUGUGUUAGUGGAACGGUCUGGAAAGUCCGACGGUACAGGGUGAUAGUCCCGUACACCAAAAUGCACAGGCUGUGAACUCGAAGAGUAGGGCGGGACACGUGGUAUCCUGUCUGAAUAUGGGGGGACCAUCCUCCAAGGCUAAAUACUCCUGACUGACCGAUAGUGAACCAGUACCGUGAGGGAAAGGCGAAAAGAACCCCGGCGAGGGGAGUGAAAAAGAACCUGAAACCGUGUACGUACAAGCAGUGGGAGCACCUUCGGGUGUGACUGCGUACCUUUUGUAUAAUGGGUCAGCGACUUAUAUUCUGUAGCAAGGUUAACCGUAUAGGGGAGCCGCAGGGAAACCGAGUCUUAACUGGGCGUUAAGUUGCAGGGUAUAGACCCGAAACCCGGUGAUCUAGCCAUGGGCAGGUUGAAGGUUGGGUAACACUAACUGGAGGACCGAACCGACUAAUGUUGAAAAAUUAGCGGAUGACUUGUGGCUGGGGGUGAAAGGCCAAUCAAACCGGGAGAUAGCUGGUUCUCCCCGAAAGCUAUUUAGGUAGCGCCUCGUGAAUUCAUCUUCGGGGGUAGAGCACUGUUUCGGCUAGGGGGUCAUCCCGACUUACCAACCCGAUGCAAACUACGAAUACCGAAGAAUGUUAUCACGGGAGACACACGGCGGGUGCUAACGUCCGUCGUGAAGAGGGAAACAACCCAGACCGCCAGCUAAGGUCCCAAAGUCAUGGUUAAGUGGGAAACGAUGUGGGAAGGCACAGACAGCCAGGAUGUUGGCUUAGAAGCAGCCAUCAUUUAAAGAAAGCGUAAUAGCUCACUGGUCGAGUCGGCCUGCGCGGAAGAUGUAACGGGGCUAAACCAUGCACCGAAGCUGCGGCAGCGACACUAUGUGUUGUUGGGUAGGGGAGCG
rnacentral:rRNA from 1 species